CGCGUGAAAGCGAAUGCCGGUCGGGCUCUAACAAAGGCGUAAAGCGCAACUUAAAGUUUGGGCUGGGAACAGAGGAAAACUUCAGGGACGGCUGGGGGAGGGGAGAGGGGUGCUUCCCCCGUCCCCGCACGGUCUUUCCGCACAGCUGCUCCUGGGGAAAGGCUGCGGCACCCCAUCCCCGAGGGGCCACGGGGCCCGCCAGCGCCCGGGGUUAAACUAUGCACCAUUUGUCCUGUUGUGAAUGGCUGCUGUGUUUUAAGAAAGGAUCUGAAAUCUUCUACUGAUUCAGUUGAAUGUGACAUUCUUUUGAAAAUCAGUCCAAGUUCACUCCAAGGGUGUCUGCCUCUCAUAGUCAGGUGAAGGCCAGAUGUUUCACCCUGCUAUGUUAAGUCAUCUUGACAUACUGCCAUGAAAUGGAAACAACUGCUAGUUUUAAUAUUGCUCCAUAUCUUUAUUAAAAGAGUCAUCAAUCUCAUGAGAUUCAUCUUGCCAUCUGUACCAGCAUUGCUCCAGGCUUCCAUAUGAAAGUCCAAUCUGGCAGUAUAAAUACUGGAUAAUGAAGACACUGGCAGAGUCUUUACUCUGCACACCACUGCUGACCCCAGAAAUGACCCACAGGAACUACUGGCGAAAGGAGUGAAAAGGAAAGUUAUUAGAAAUUUGAAGGAAAGUCACAAAUUGCCAGGAAACAGACAGGCUGGUGGAAGGAUUAUGCAAACAACAUCAUAAAACAGACUGUUUCCAGAAGACAGUUCCAUGUAUUAAUUACAGGUGUGCAGCUGAGCUAAUGCAAAGCUAUGAGUGGGAAUGAACAAUGCAAAAGAAUAUUUUUAUUGCCCCCCCAGUCCCUUCCCCCAGCUCCAUCACAACUUUGUCUGAAGUAUACAGUGCUGACUUUAACAGUCUUCCUCUACUCUGGCUCCAGUUGCUACCUCCACCCCCACCCUGGCUCAGCCACCUUGUUAUUAAUCAUGUUUGCCUGAGUGCUUGGAGAUACCCAAGCAAGUCUAGGCUUCAGCAGUUUGAAAUCUAAGAGCUCUUCUUAUUUUGGAGCAAUACCAGCUGCUCUUCUCUGAGCACCAGUCCAGAUGGAGAUCAUCCAACUCAUCCAGAAGGAAGCCUUUGCAAGCACGGUGCUGGCCUUUUACAAUGAUGGACAUCUUUCUGCUGAGGAGAGAGUGAUUACAUGAAAGGAAACCAAGCAUCACAAACUGCAGAUGAGCAGUUCUUGGAAUUGCCUGAACAGCCAAGUGCAAGAACUGAAUGAUGCAGGAAGAAAGACCCUAUAAAUAUUGCAGAGCAGCAGCAUUUUUAAAGUACUCCCUCAUUCCUGAUUGCAGCAUAAGAGCAUACAUUCAUAAGGCAUGCCACCCUGAAAUUGAUGGGAACCUUUCUGUGGACUGCAUGGUUUGUGUACUAAGCCUCCAGAUUCUUGAAGCAAACCCUCGCUGCUACAAAGAGCUCUUAAAAUUACAUUUAAAUUGGAAAUAGAAAUCUCCUCAGCCCUGACAUUGGAGCAGAGUUAUUAUUUCCCAUGCCUGUCUUCUCUCACUCAGGAAGUCGCUGCAACAUGAAACCUCUUCUGAUUGUUCCUCCUCCAAAUGCCUCAACUGCCUGAACUCCACUAUUUCCUCAUGAAAGGAGGAAAAAUAUGGGAAUUUAGGCAAGCAGAACAGUCCUUAUGCUCAGACUGAAAAAGCAAGGUCAAGAGGGGUCUAAUUUUCCCAGCCACUGAAAGGUGUUUACCUUCUUCCUUCAUCUUGGCACAGGAACCUGUUAAGUGCAAUUCCCACUUCAGUAAACUGCUGCAGCAUAAUCAAGGACUACAGGGAUCUCUCAGGUGUGCUUUAGGGCUCAUGAGAAGUUAUAUUUCCAGCAGUUUAGUGUUGCAGGACUGGGUAGCAGUGAGACCACAUCUAUAUACAUCUGUGUACAUCUCUGGACAUACAGUUUGUUUUCAGACCAGAAACUUUAAAUCUGCUCAGUUUAACAGGGUAAAAAAUGAGAGAGGACAUGACUGUUGAAUUAUAAGUGUACUAGAGUGAAGAGUAAGAAUUGGGGGAGAAAAUUUUUAGUAAAGAACAGAGCUGUGACAAGAAGAAAUUGUUACAUGCUCUCUAUACAGAAUUUUUUUUCUGUAAAUUAGGUGAAGGUCCUUAACCACCUGAAAGACUUCCUUGAUCCAUCUCCCAACAUGCAGAAGUGUUCAGGGGAAAGCUAAAAUUGAGUUGUGUCCAUUUGCAAAAGAUAUUAGGUGAUAUGAUUGUGUGCAGUCACUCACAAGGGUUCCACGUGUGUCCCUUUGGGGAUGCUUUGGGGUUGCUCAUCUUGUGAACUGUGCUUUUGUGAUCUGAACUGGGAAGUGAACUGAAGAAAUGUGAAUCAGAAUGUAUGGGUCAGCUGUGAACAUUGUCCAUCUGCAUUAAUUCACUGGCUGUGAAUAUAAGGCUGUUUAAAAGAAUGGGCAAUUUAUCUCAUAAGUAUUUAAUAAGGUGUCCAGAGAAAGGCAGUGUGAUCACAGUUGCACACUGACUCAUGGUUAUAUUACCUAAACAAGAACCUUGUUUGGGUUCUGCUUGGAAGGGGAAGGAGCGCUGGCAUUUCUGUCUGACUCAAAAUGGGAAAUAUACAAUUGAGAGGUCCGCCUCAAAGGCAA